ACUAUUUCCACGACAGCACUUGAAUCUCUCAUGUCUAUUCCAGAAAACGUGUUAGCUCGUGUUUCUCAGAUUUCUGAUAUGAUAUUGGAAGAGCAGUCGUUAGCAGCCCAGAGUAAAACUGUGCUGCAAGGAUCGAUUGUUAGUAAAUCUCUUAAUGUUUUUACAGAACAGUGGUCAUCAGAAACCCUGUAAAUUGCACUUUUAGCUUCAGCUUUGCUCGACACACAGAGAGGACGUUUGUUUGAGCUUUGCUGGACACAGAGAAAGGACUUUUGUUUUUGUCACUCCUCCCCCCACCCAAUACCCUAAUAGAAGAACUGGUUUCCAAGAGGAUGUGACUAAACUUUGAAACUGUUUCCACUCAUUUGGUGUAGCUGAGAGUGGGGAUACUCAAGCCAUUGUAGUUCACAUGUCUGUAGUUUUAGCAACCGUGAAAGAUGAAGGCCGGCCAGUCGGUGGCGACACACAACUUUCCGGUUUUGAGAAAAAGAUAAAAGAA
rnacentral:lncRNA from 1 species